rnacentral:ncRNA from 2 species
AGUUGACAGAAGAGAGUGAGCACACAGCGGCCAGACUGCAUCGAUCUAUCAAUCUUCCCUUCGACAGGAUAGCUAGAUAGAAAGAAAGAGAGGCCGUCGGCGGCCAUGGAAGAGAGAGAGAGAGAGAGAUGAAAUGAUGAUGAUGAUACAGCUGCCGCUGCGUGCUCACUUCUCUUUCUGUCAGCU